AUACGGAGGGUGCAAGCGUUACUCGGAAUCACUGGGCGUAAAGCGCGCGCAGGCGGCUAUUUAAGUUGGAUGUGAAAGCCUACGGCUCAACCGUAGAACUGCAUCCAAAACUAUUUAGCUAGAGUGUGGGAGAGGAAGAUGGAAUUAGUUGUGUAGGGGUAAAAUCCGUAGAGAUAACUAGGAAUACCAAAAGCGAAGGCAAUCUUCUGGAACACUACUGACGCUGAGGCGCGAAAGCGUGGGGAGCAAACAGGAGUAGAAACCCUUGUAGUCC
rnacentral:rRNA from 1 species